GCUCAUUCAUUGCAAUAGAAAUGCUAUGUCCUAGAAGUGGUUUUUCUAGGGAGAGGCCUAUCUAUUGUAUUUUGGGUGUGCUGUUGUUCCCUGGGAUUUCCCCAAGUGUGGGAACUUAAUUGCAUAGUUUGUAUUAAUGAAAGAUUGCACUUGUGAGUAACACUAGUUUUCC
rnacentral:snRNA from 1 species